CGGCAUGGAGCAGCAUGCAGCCUCAAGAAGCGUCCUGAUGCACUUCUUUGGCAUCCAGCCCGCGGGAUGGCCUGUAAAGGAUUGUGCACUUUGGCGGGGCGGGAUUGGGCCGACCUGUUGGAUACUGCAGUCCGUGUGGGUCUGACCCGCGAGAAGACAAACCCGCUGCAGUACAAGACGUACCAACCUAUUUAACAUUCCUAGCAACAUGACCUUAAUUGAUUGAUAUAGGUGUGGUCCAACUAUUUUAAUACAAUUAUUAAAAAAAUUUAUUAACCAUUUAAGAUAAAUAUUAUACAAAGAAAAACACAAAUAUAAAAAUUAAAUUUCUAAAAAAAUAUAAAACAAAAAAUAUACUAAAGAGGAGUUGUAAUAUAUUAGCUCAUUUGUUAAAAGAAGCUAUCUACUAAAGAGGAGUUGUAAUAUAUUAGCUCGUUUUUGUGACUUUGUGUUGAUACCCUUUUGCUCUAGUCCUAACUCCUAACUCAAGCUCGGUAUCCAGUAAUGUGGACCACAAAUGACUAACUAAAACUAAAGAAAUAAUUACCACAGUCAAACUAUAAUUCAAAGUUAGAAUAUGACCUACAAUUAUUUCAUUUUAACUCGAAAACAGGUGUUUAAGCUUCAGAUAUAUUUCAAACUUAAAAGAGUUAAAGUAAAAACUUAAAAAAGUUGGUGCGGAAUCGACAACUGUCAACUACGUUACAUAAAAACACCAAAC
rnacentral:lncRNA from 1 species